AACAACAACUGCCCCGGUGCUUCCCCGUAGAUAGCACCGCUGUUGUUUCAGGAACACAGUCAUCCCUCAGAAAUGGAUUGGGUGACAAGUGGUCUGCAUGCUGCACACGGGCACUGGGCUGGAGACGACCUUCUCACUCACGGACCAAACCCUUGGUGUGACCUCUAUUUCCCAAGAGAUGAGCCUUCAGGCCUGAGGAUCAGUGGCCUGAUUCUUAUAAAGGAGACGGUGGACUCACAAAGGCAUCACGCGCAGAUCAGCGGACAGGCGCGUAACAGGAGGUGCUAAGUGCGCAGGUGGGGUCACGUGCCGCGUCACAGCAGUGCUGGAGGAGAGUCCUGACUCAUGGCCUGGGAUGCUGGGGUUCCUCCCCAGAGAAGCUCUUUUGGACCUGGGAGAAGGAGUAGGACUUUGAUACACCAUGGAGGUCUCUGAAUGUAACCAAAUUGUUCUCCUCUUAUCAUUCCCAUUCACUGGUGUACUUGUUUGUGGAGCCUGCAGAACUGCCUUUUUCAAGAAUGGCAGCUUGGCCUCUAAAUCUGCUUCCCACUGAUGGGAAGAGCUGACAGAAGCUUUAGAGAGGCACAGGAAAUGUUUCAUGACGCUUCCUUAACUGCUAAGGACCCGCAGAUUCUCUUCCUCUUGGGACUCACACACUGACUCAUCUCCCGAUCUUUUGGUGCUCAGCAAAGUGGAGGCUUCUGUUUUGGACUUAGAGUCAAGACCAUUAAAUAAGACUAUGCUCUAAAAAGUACACCUCCGUGGCCCGGAACGAGUGAAUUAACAUCUAUGAGUUUCCAUUUCCUUGUCUAUAAAAUUGUGAAAUUGCAACUUAAGAUUAGUUCUGAAGAUUAAAUGAGGUAACAUAGGUGAAAAUGCUACAUUUAUGUAAGAAAUUACUCUUUCAUAAGGAUGUCAAUGUUUAAAUACGCAUUUUCUCAAUUUUGUUAAUGAAAUACUUUGAAAUUCUUUUUUCUAAUGAAACCUGCUGAAUGUAAAAGAGACCCGUACUAAAGAAAGAUACCACAUGAAGCACCAAGGGUCUCUUUCUGGAUCUAUCAUGACUCUUGUGACUGUUUCAGCAGCACAGAAAUUAAAGGCGAUUGUUAUUCUGGAGGAAGACAAUGAGUCUCAUCUAUAUCUUGUUUGGGUUGAUUUUGUAAACAGAACAUUCCAAAGAUCAUUCUUGCCUUUUGUUUCCACUGAGAACUAGAAUAAAGUAAAACAAACUAUCAAUUUAAGGAAAGCCUCGAAAUUGUUAGCAAUUUCUUCAGUAACUUUCAUCCAUCAACUGAUUUUAUGAACACAAAUUUGCAGAAAUGGGCAAGAAAAACUACUUAACUCAUUGGUGGGAAGCAGUGGGCUCUCUAAGGAGGGAGAGAUAGCAGUGAUUUCACCACCGGACCGUGGAACACAAAGAGCCUGGAAGAGUCUAUCACUUUCAACUGAAACCGCAAGAAGAACUAAGUAGGUUAAGCCCUAAGAAUGUUCCUAGGUAACCUACUUGAGUUGAAAUUUGACUAAGAAUCCUUACACCCUACCUAAGAGAGGUAACGCUAUUAGGAUCGGAAGUGAUUGGAAGCUUUGUUUCAGAUCUCGUCCAAAAGGGAGAACGGUCAAUGACAAAGCUGCUGUGAAUAGUAUUCUGGGGGCGUGGUGGAACCCCGAUUCACUGCUAUCUCCCGAAUCAGCAACUUGACAGAGCGCGCCUCCCGGGCCUUGGAAGCCUUCCAUUCCGAGCUGGCUGGGUGGGACUCAGGUUUUACGGUAUGCUGG
ensembl:lncRNA PACRG-AS3 PACRG antisense RNA 3